rnacentral:rRNA from 1 species
AGAGUUUGAUCAUGGCUCAGGAUGAACGCUGGCGGCGUGCUCAAUACAUGCAAGUCGAACGGAGACAUUAGCAAUAAUGUCUUAGUGGCGAACGGGUGAGUAACGCGUUGGUGACCUGCCCCGAAGAGGGGGAUAACAGUCCGAAAGGAUUGCUAAUACCCCAUGUGGUCGUUUGGAUUAGAUGCCUUAUGACUAAACGGAUUUAUUCGCUUCGGGAGGGGCCUGCGUCCCAUCAGCUAGUUGGUAGGGUAAUAGCCUACCAAGGCGAUGACGGGUAGGGGACCUGAGAGGGUGGCCCCCCACAAUGGAACUGAAACACGGUCCAUACACCUACGGGUGGCAGCAGUAGGGAAUAUUGGUAAUCUGGGAAACCGGGAACCAGCAACGCCGCGUGCGCGAUGAAGGCCUUCGGGUUGUAAAGCGCUUUUUGAAGGGAUGAGGAAGGACAGUACCUUCAGAAUAAGCCUCGGCUAACUACGUGCCAGCAGCCGCGGUAAAACGUAGGAGGCGAGCGUUAUCCGGAUUUACUGGGCGUAAAGCGUGUGUAGGCGGUUUGAUAAGUUGGAUGUGAAAGCUCCUGGCUCAACUGGGAGAGGUCGUUCAAAACUAUCAGACUCGAGAGUGGUAGAGGGAGGUGGAAUUCCGCGUGUAGUGGUGAAAUGCGUAGAUAUGCGGAGGAACACCAGUGGCGAAAGCGGCCUCCUGGCCCAUUUCUGACGCUCAGACACGAAAGCUAAGGUAGCAAACGGGAUUAGAGACCCCGGUAGUCUUAGCUGUAAACGAUGUGAACUUAGUGUCGGUGGGGUUAAAUCCAUCGGUACUGAAGCAAACGCGAUAAGUUCACCGCCUGAGGACUACGGCCGCAAGGUUAAAACUCAAAGGAAUUGACGG